UACUAAGAAAUUUUCCCUAUCAUCAAGUCAUUCUAUAAUAAUCUCUACAAGGUGCUUGUGCCUUCUUUUGAUACAUCUUCUACUGUCAGGAACUGCAUAUUGGACUCCGUGUAUCACUGGACUUACUUCUCAGCUCAACUUUUAUCUAACCAGUAGCAAAAACAGAUAAUGAAAAAAAAAAAAGCAAUAAUCACUAAAAGGUCCCCGGGAGUCCCCAGAACCUCUGGUUCCAGCUUUUCCCCUUCCAGCCAUCCCCCAUGAAGAUCCACCACAAUUGUUUUUCUGAUAGCAAAACACAGAAGAGGAGGAAGAUCUGUACAGGUGCAUGGCUAAUGCAGUCAAGUACAGGGCAGCCAGGCAGAGAACAGACCAAUAGGAACUUCAUCAAGUCCAAAGAAGGAAGGUCCUGCACCCACAAUGGAUUAACAUGUUCCACAGUACAACACCAACUGGUUCGCUAGUGGCUCUGCAAAAAAAGGAGCAACUUGCAUCUGAGUCAGAAAUGCUGCACUGUAUGGAGAUGCAUUUGUGCUGUUAGCCAGGUUUUUGGUCCCACUGGCAAUGAAACAUGCUGGCCAGUGCUUGCUGUGACAGCUGAAAGUUCCCAAAACUGCAGUGAAGAGUUUGUAUGCCCAAUACAUAUACCCACCGCACAUUAGGACCUACAAGACAUUUCUGGACCUCAGACUUAGAACACAUCAGGCAUGUUAAAGCAAAGGUAGGUUUUUAGAGCUGUAGUUUUUUCUGAGGGUGUGCUGGUCUACAUUUACUGUUUAUCUUGAUG
rnacentral:lncRNA from 1 species